rnacentral:lncRNA from 1 species
UCAAAGCUAAAGUUUAAACCAUAUAAGAAGUUUGAAACAAUGUCACAAUGACUCAUUCAUGACACUUCAAUAUGUCAUAUUAUAUAACAUGCUAAAGCCAUAAAUGGUUUGUCUCUGUGAUUCAAAGCUUCUAGUCAAAUGGAUCAAGGAAAAAUUCUGUCAGCACGUUAGAAGAAGUACCAUGUUUUAAAUUUCGAACCACUAAAAUAACAGAAAAAAAUUUCAGAAGCUGUCGGAAAGAAG